rnacentral:misc_RNA from 1 species
GUGAAUCAUCAAAUUUUUGAACGCAAAUUGCACUCUCUUCGGAGAGUAUGCCUGUUUGAGGGUCAGUAUUAAUAAAAAUCGGUGUGUUGCUUCUUUGUGACGUUCCGGAGUUUGGGUCAUCUUAAUAUCCUUUAGGUUUUAAGUGGCUUAAAAUUGACUUUUCUUGCGCCUUUUAGAUGUACAUAAAUUCUUUUUUCUAUCCGUUUGUAUUACUGCUCAAAAUCCUAUUAGUUGCGAU